rnacentral:rRNA from 1 species
CCUACGGGUGGCAGCAGUAGGGAAUCUUCCACAAUGGGCGAAAGCCUGAUGGAGCAACGCCGCGUGGGUGAAGAAGGUCUUCGGAUCGUAAAACCCUGUUGUUAGAGAAGAAAGUGCGUGAGAGUAACUGUUCACGUUUCGACGGUAUCUAACCAGCAAGCCACGGCUAACUACGUGCCAGCAGCCGGGGUCAUACGUAGGUGGCAAGCGUUAUCCGGAUUUAUUGGGCGUAAAGGGGACGCAGGCGGUCUUUUAAGUCUGAUGUGAAAGCCGUCGGCUUAACCGGCGUAGUGCAUUGGAAACUGGGGGACUUGAGUGCAGAAGAGGGAAGUGGAACGCCUGGUGUAGCGGUGAAAUGCGUAGAUAUAUGGAAGAACACCAGUGGCGAAGGCGGCUCUCUGGUCUGUAACUGACGCUGAGGUUCGAAAGCGUGGGUAGCAAACAGGAUUAGAUACCCCUGUAGUC